ACCAGCCACUUGGCAGAGCAUGCGGCUGUUAACCGCANNAGGGUCGUUGGUUCGAGUCCAACAGGGGGAGCCA
rnacentral:tRNA from 1 species